GAUGAACGCUGGCGGCGUGCUUAAUACAUGCAAGUCGAACGGAGACUGUAGCAAUACUGUCUUAGUGGCGAACGGGUGAGUAACGCGUUGGUGACCUGCCCCGAAGAGAGGGAUAACAGUCCGAAAGGAUUGCUAAUACCCCAUGUGGUCGUUUGGAUUAGAUGCCUUAUGACUAAACGGAUUUAUUCGCUUCGGGAGGGGCCUGCGUCCCAUCAGCUAGUUGGUGAGGUAAUAGCUUACCAAGGCGAUGACGGGUAGGGGACCUGAGAGGGUGGCCCCCCACAAUGGAACUGAAACACGGUCCAUACACCUACGGGUGGCAGCAGUAGGGAAUAUUGGUAAUCUGGGAAACCGGGACCAGCAACGCCGCGUGCGCGAUGACGGCCUUCGGUUGUAAGCGCUUUUAAAGGUAUGAGGAAGGACAGUACCUUAGAAUAAGCCUCGGCUAACUACGUGCCAGCAGCCGCGGUAAUGAGUAAGUACA
rnacentral:rRNA from 1 species